GACUUUGGUACCAAUUGAGUCUUCAGGAAUUCUUAAACAAUGUGAUGUCCUGGGGUGUAUACUGGCUUUGGAAUCAAAGAUCUUACCUAACCUUCAUGGGGCUUUGAAUUCAGCCUCAAACAUUGUGAUAAUCCGAUCCUGACACUUGCCCUCCCCUCAUUCACUCUUUUAACAAUCCCAAGAGAGUGCAGGACUGAGAUCCGAAAAUGUUAUUAUGGAGGGGAAAUAAAGGUUAUUUUGAAUGCUUCAAGGUCACGUGACUUGUAAGAAGAAGUCAGUUGCUAUGUACAAAGUCCUACUACUCUAAGACUGCCAUACCAUGAGAAGCCCAACCUAGCCAUGUGGAGAGGUCAUGUGAAGGAGAACUGAGUCUUCCAGCCAGCAACCCCAGCUGAGCUUCCAGCCAACAAACAGCACUAACUUGCAUGGGAGAAGCUGUCCAGGAAGUGAAUCCUUGAGCUCCAAUUGAGCUGCCUCAAGCUGGUGUCACGUGGAGCAGAGAUGAGCUGUCCCUGACAUACCUUGCACAAAUUUCAGAAACAUAAGUAAAUAAAAGAAAUAUUUGUAUUUUAAGUCAACA
rnacentral:lncRNA from 10 species